rnacentral:rRNA from 1 species
UACGAAGGGGGCUAGCGUUGUUCGGAAUUACUGGGCGUAAAGGGUGCGUAGGUUGUCAUUCAAGUCAGAGGUGAAAUCCCGGAGCUUAACUCCGGAAUUGCCUUUGAAACUGAAUGGCUAGAGAGUGUUAGAGGUAAGUGGAAUUCCUAGUGUAGGAGUGAAAUCCGUAGAUAUUAGGAGGAACAUCAAUGGCGAAGGCAGCUUACUGGGUCACAUCUGACACUGAGGCACGAAAGCGUGGGUAGCAAACAGGAUUAGAUACCCUGGUAGUCCACGCCCUAAACGAUGGAUGCUAGAUGUCGGGGCCUUGAGCUUCGGCGUCGUAGUUAACGCGUUAAGCAUCCCGCCUGGGGAGUACGGUCGCAAGAUUAAA